rnacentral:rRNA from 1 species
UACGAAGGAUCCAAGCGUUAUCCGGAUUUAUUGGGUUUAAAGGGUGCGUAGGCGGGUUAUUAAGUCAGUGGUGAAAUCUUGCAGCUCAACUGUAAAAUUGCCAUUGAUACUGAUGAUCUUGAGUACAUUUGAAGUGGGCGGAAUAUGUCAUGUAGAGGUGAAAUUCUUAGAGAUGACAUAGAACACCGAUUGCGAAGGCAGCUCACUAAACUGUAACUGACGCUGAGGCACGAAAGCGUGGGGAUCAAACAGG